rnacentral:tRNA from 1 species
GGAGAGGUGUCUGAGUGGUUGAAAGAGCACGCUUGGAAGGCGUGUAGCGACUUCACGGUUGCUCGAGAGUUCGAAUCUCUCCCUCUCCG